AUUGAACGCUGGAGGUAUGCUUAACACAUGCAAGUCGAACGGUAACGAUGCUAGCUUGCUAGCAGGCGACGAGUGGCGGACGGGUGAGUAACGCGUAGGAAUAUACCUAGUAGUGGGGGAUAACAUGGAGAAAUUCAUGCUAAUACCGCAUAUGUCCCAUGGGAUAAAGAGGGCCUCUUCUUGAAAGCUCUUGCUAUUAGAUUAGCCUGCGUCGGAUUAGCUUGUUGGUGAGGUAAUGGCUCACCAAGGCAACGAUCCGUAGCUGGUCUGAGAGGAUGAUCAGCCACACUGGGACUGAGACACGGCCCAGACUCCUACGGGAGGCAGCAGUGGGGAAUAUUGGACAAUGAGCGCAAGCUUGAUCCAGCAAUACCUCGUGUGUGAAGAAGGCCUUAGGGUUGUAAAGCACUUUCAAUUGGGACGAAGAGUGUAAGUUUAAUAAACUUGCACUUUGACGGUACCUUUAGAAGAAGCACCGGCUAAC
rnacentral:rRNA from 1 species